AGUGAACGCUGGCGGUAGGCCUAACACAUGCAAGUCGAACGGCAGCACAGUAAGAGCUUGCUCUUACGGGUGGCGAGUGGCGGACGGGUGAGGAAUACAUCGGAAUCUACUUUUUCGUGGGGGAUAACGUAGGGAAACUUACGCUAAUACCGCAUACGACCUACGGGUGAAAGCAGGGGAUCUUCGGACCUUGCGCGAUUGAAUGAGCCGAUGUCGGAUUAGCUAGUUGGCGGGGUAAAGGCCCACCAAGGCGACGAUCCGUAGCUGGUCUGAGCGGAUGAUCAGCCACACUGGAACUGAGACACGGUCCAGACUCCUACGGGAGGCAGCAGUGGGGAAUAUUGGACAAAGGGCGCAAGCCUGAUCCAGCCAUACCGCGUGGGUGAAGAAGGCCUUCGGGUUGUAAAGCCCUUUUGUUGGGAAAGAAAAGCAGCAGGUUAAUACCCCGCUGUUCUGACGGUACCCAAAGAAUAAGCACCGGCUAACUUCGUG
rnacentral:rRNA from 1 species